UACAGAGGUCUCAAGCGUUGUUCGGAUUCAUUGGGCGUAAAGCGCGUGUAGGCGGCUUUGCAAGUCGGGUGUGAAAGCCCUCAGCUCAACUGAGGAAGUGCGCCCGAAACUGCAGAGCUUGAGUGCCGGAGAGGGUGGCGGAAUUCCCCCAAGUAGAGGUGAAAUUCGUAGAUAUGGGGAGGAACACCGGUGGCGAAGGCGGCCGACCUGGACGGUAACUGACGCUGAGACGCGAAAGCGUGGGGAGCGAACAGG
rnacentral:rRNA from 1 species